AUACGAAGGGCCCGAGCGUUAAUCGGAAUCACUGGGCUUAAAGGGUGCGCAGGCGGGCAGGUCAGUGUCUCGUGAAAUCCCACGGCUCAACCGUGGAAUUGCUAGGCAUACUACCUGUCUUGAGCCCGGCAGGGGCCGUCGGAACUCUAGGUGGAGCGGUGAAAUGCGUAGAUAUCUAGAGGAACGCCAAAGGUGAAGACAGACGGCUGGGCCGGCGCUGACGCUCAGGCACGAAAGCGUGGGGAGCGAACGGGAUUAGAAACCCCGGUAGUCC
rnacentral:rRNA from 1 species